rnacentral:lncRNA from 1 species
UUUAACGUGGAGGAGCUUUUAACGAGCAGCCGCCGGCUCGCCUUGAUCACCACUCAACGAUUUCUUCUUCCUCCUCACGCGGCUAUUUACGCGCGUGAGUACACGCAUCAGUCUCCAAGUAUAGAUAUUUCGAACACUUUCCACCUAUCGGAGGGCACGUGAGGUGCACACGCCGUCAUCUAAAAAUUCGUUUGUUUCCUCUUCUCCACAAACCCUUCUUCCUUCCUUCCUAUUAAUUUCCACUCUCCUUCCAAAAAGAAAAAAAAACUUUUUUUUGUUGGUUUUAAAGAAAAAAAAAAAUCUUGUAUAUAUAUAUUGAAGCUAGAGAAUAAUAAUUAAAAUAAACAAAAGACACAACACAGCAUCAGGAUUCUCUCACCGGAAACACACAAAAUGGAGUCAUCAUCGUCAUCAACGUUUCUCACUACCACAAGCUUAGACCAGAGGAAACCGUCUCCGGUUUCGAGAAAACCACCAAAGCAAAAGAAGAAGAUGACUUCAAGUUCAACGAACAAACCCAUCAAAGUGCG